rnacentral:rRNA from 1 species
UCGGGAAUUUUGGGCAAUGGGCGAAAGCCUGACCCAGCAACGCCGCGUGAAGGAUGAAGUAUUUCGGUAUGUAAACUUCGAAAGAAUAGGAAGAAUAAAUGACGGUACUAUUUAUAAGGUCCGGCUAACUACGUGCCAGCAGCCGCGGUAAUACGUAGGGACCAAGCGUUGUUCGGAUUUACUGGGCGUAAAGGGCGCGUAGGCGGCAAUUCAAGUCAUCUAUGAAAUCUCCGGGCUUAACUCGGAACGGUCAGAUGAUACUGCUUCGCUAGAGUGCAGAAGGGGCAAUCGGAAUUCUUGGUGUAGCGGUGAAAUGCGUAGAUAUCAAGAGGAACACCUGAGGUGAAGACGGGUUGCUGGGCUGACACUGGCGCUGAGGCGCGAAAGCCAGGGGAGCAAACGGGAUUAGAUACCCUAGUAGUCCCUGAGCGGGCUGGCAAGGCGCAU